rnacentral:lncRNA from 1 species
UCCAGAGCGCCCCUCCCCACACGCCCCCGCAGCCCUGAGAUCGUAUCGGUUUGGCCCGCAUGGAAAUGAGAUGUUUUCCCUUGUAAAGCGCCACAAAUAUGAAGACAGCGGGAGUUAUCAAUAAAACAUAGACCCCUGAGAGCCCAGCAGAGCAGCUGCGACGGCUCUGAUCCACAGGGCUCGAGGCGUGCGACGACACGCCAACCGGCAUGGCUUCCCUCGCCGUGUGCGGACAGGUGGAGCGGCAGCCCGAGCCAGGAGACAGGAAGUGUGCAGCCUUUGUGUGUGUGUGUGUGUGUAUGAAUGUGUGCGGGGGGAGGAGGGGAGUGUACCAGCUCUGUGUGUGUGUGUGGGAUGGUGAUUUAAGGCAGCACAGCGUGGGAACCUAUUUACUGUGGACUCCUGACGCUGUUCGCUCACGGCCGACAUGGCACCAGAGUUUGACAACAUCCUUUCGGACUCCGGUUCUGGCAAUUUCGAAUACAAAGAGGCCCCCGACCAAACCGCUGACCCAUUUGCAGAGGACCUCACUUCUACGCAUAUUGAUCCCACAGAUUUGCUGCUGUUCAGACCGGAAACAGACACUACAGUCUCCCCGGAGGCGGGGGGUUCGAGCGGCGUGUGGCUCGUCGUGAUCGGCCUGAUUAUCACAAUGCUCGCUGUGGCCAUCGCCGUCAGCCUUCUGGUCAGGAGGUGGAAGAAGAGACAAACUGCCAGCGAUGCAAAAGCGGAUCCUUUCUUAGACGACUACUACGCUGAGAAGAUUCCAGCGCCCAGGUUUGAGGAUGAUGCGCCCUCUGUGCUGGAGCUGGAGCUGGACAUGCGGGACUGGGACGAGUGGGAGAUGACGACCGAAUCCGAGGAAAUUCCUGAAAGACAAAACUAACCCCGGACCAUUCCGCAAGAAAAGUGUCGCCGAUUUCAGAAAGCGGGAGCGACAAAUCAGCACCCUCCCUCGUCUCAUCUUUCCCCGCUCUCUCGCCUCGCGUGUCCAACACCGUCUGACGCGGGGGGGGGGGCACCUUUGCGGCUUUGUGGGUGUGCGGUCGGCCCGAAUCUCAGCCGUACGUCCAAAAGUCGCGCAGGUGUGAGGGUACCGCACUUUUGGGGGCGUUCCUGCAGCGAGAGACUCCGCCGGACAGGCGGCGGCGUGCUCAGCCGUCCCUGCGUGACACCGCGGACGUCUCCCUGCGACGCCGCCUCGCCUCGCCUCGGCCCGCGGUGCGCAAUCCCCCUCGGCAGCCGGUCGAGGCCUCGCUCGGCUCGGCGCUGCCUCUUCCGUCUCAUUUGUUCGACGUGUUCCUGCUCCUGCCGUGGAUAUUUUUGACACUGUUUGAUUUAAGCUCGAUGCUGUAAAUUAUCGACCAUGUGCUGUGAGACUAAGCACGCAUGCCACUACUACAAUAAAGCCAACAGAGAUGCUGUGUGUAAUCGCUUA